rnacentral:rRNA from 1 species
UACGGAGGGGGCUAGCGUUGUUCGGAAUUACUGGGCGUAAAGCGCACGUAGGCGGCUUUGCAAGUUAGAGGUGAAAGCCCGGGGGCUCAACUCCGGAAUUGCCUUUAAAACUGCAUCGCUAGAAUUGUGGAGAGGUGAGUGGAAUUCCGAGUGUAGAGGUGAAAUUCGUAGAUAUUCGCAAGAACACCAGUGGCGAAGGCGGCUCACUGGCCCGAUACUGACGCUGAGGCACGAAAGCGAUGGGGAGGCAAA